rnacentral:tRNA from 1 species
GCCAAAGUAGCUCAGUUGGUAGAGCAAUCCCUUCGUAAGGGAAAGGUCGUGGGUUCGACUCCCACCUUUGGCU